CAGCAGCCGCGGUAAUACAGAGGGUGCAAGCGUUAAUCGGAAUUACUGGGCGUAAAGUGCGCGUAGGUGGUUUGUUAAGUUGGAUGUGAAAUCCCCGGGCUCAACCUGGGAACUGCAUCCAAAACUGGCAAGCUAGAGUAUGGUAGAGGGUGGUGGAAUUUCCUGUGUAGCGGUGAAAUGCGUAGAUAUAGGAAGGAACACCAGUGGCGAAGGCGACCACCUGGACUGAUACUGACACUGAGGUGCGAAAGCGUGGGGAGCAAACAGGAUUAGAUACCCGGGUAGUCCCUGUCUCUUAUAC
rnacentral:rRNA from 1 species